GACAUCCCUGCAAGUGGAGAGAGAGCUUAAAACAGGUCUCUCUUGCUCAGCCUCCAAGAACUUGUUAUAGUUUCAGAGUCAGAUACAGCUAUUAGAGCUGGCCUAGUUACAGACUGCCCAGAUACCCUUCAUCCAGUGUUCGUACCCAGCAACACAGAGUCCAAGUAGGUAUUUGGUCGCUCCCUAAUCUUUCCCCUCUCCCUUUCUUCCUGCAGGUAUACUCCCAAACAUCCUCUUAUUUAUCUUUGCUUUUUUGUGUAUUUAUUUUAUUACUGCAUUGGUUAUCUUGUAUUAUUUGUAAGUGUUUGUAAUUAUUAACAACAGAUAGAAGUUAAUUUGGAAUGAUAUCAGUAGUUCUCUUUCCAUGAGUUUUCAUUUCUUUCCUAUUUUAAAAAUAGACAGAGGCAACCCAUUUUCUUAGGUAAAAAGAAAUGAGGAAAAUACUCAACAAAAUACUACCAAACUGAAACAAAAAACAUUUAAAAGAUUAUACACCAUGAUCAAGUGGGAUUUAUCCCAGGGAGCAAGGGUAGUUUAGCAUUAGGAAAUCAAUCAGUGCAAUAUACCAUAUUAAUAGAACAAAGUAGAAGAGCUACACGAUCAUCUCAGUCUACGCAGAAAAGGCAUUUGACAAAACUCGGCACCCUUUCGUGAUAAAACCACUCAACAAGAUAGGAAUAGAAGGGAAAUUCCUCAGUAUAAUAAAGAACAUUUAUGAAAAUCCACAGCUAACAUACUCAAUGGAGAAAGACUGAGAGCUUUCCCGUUCAGAUCAGGAACAAGACAGGGAUGCCCACUCUCACUACUACUAUUCAACGUCUUUCUGAAAGUCGUAGCCACAGCGGUUAGGCUAGGGUUAAAAAAAAAAAAAA